UGGGGAAUUUUGGACAAUGGGCGAAAGCCUGAUCCAGCAAUGCCGCGUGUGUGAAGAAGGCCUUCGGGUUGUAAAGCACUUUUGUCCGGAAAGAAAUCCUUGGCUCUAAUACAGUCGGGGGAUGACGGUACCGGAAGAAUAAGCACCGGCUAACUACGUGCCAGCAGCCGCGGUAAUACGUAGGGUGCAAGCGUUAAUCGGAAUUACUGGGCGUAAAGCGUGCGCAGGCGGUUUGCUAAGACCGAUGUGAAAUCCCCGGGCUCAACCUGGGAACUGCAUUGGUGACUGGCAGGCUAGAGUAUGGCAGAGGGGGGUAGAAUUCCACGUGUAGCAGUGAAAUGCGUAGAGAUGUGGAGGAAUACCGAUGGCGAAGGCAGCCCCCUGGGCCAAUACCGACGCUCAUGCACGAAAGCGUGGGGAGCAAACAGGAUUAGAUACCCUGGUAGUCCACGCCCUAAACGAUGUCAACUAGUUGUUGGGGAUUCAUUUCCUUAGUAACGUAGCUAACGCGUGAAGUUGACCGCCUGGGGAGUACGGUCGCAAGAUUAAAACUCAAAUGAAUUGACGGGGUCAUAGCUGUUUCCU
rnacentral:rRNA from 1 species